GAUGAACGCUGGCGGCGUGCCUAAUACAUGCAAGUCGAGCGAACGGACGAGAAGCUUGCUUCUCUGAUGUUAGCGGCGGACGGGUGAGUAACACGUGGAUAACCUACCUAUAAGACUGGGAUAACUUCGGGAAACCGGAGCUAAUACCGGAUAAUAUUUUGAACCGCAUGGUUCAAAAGUUAAAGACGGUCUUGCUGUCACUUAUAGAUGGAUCCGCGCUGCAUUAGCUAGUUGGUAAGGUAACGGCUUACCAAGGCAACGAUGCAUAGCCGACCUGAGAGGGUGAACGGCCACACUGGAACUGAGACACGGUCCAGACUCCUACGGGAGGAAGCAGUAGGGAAUCUUCCGCAAUGGGCGAAAGCCUGACGGAGCAACGCCGCGUGAGUGAUGAAGGUCUUCGGAUCGUAAAACUCUGUUAUUAGGGAAGAACAUAUGUGUAAGUAACUGUGAACAUCUUGACGGUACCUAAUCAGAAAGCCACGGCUAACUACGUG
rnacentral:rRNA from 1 species